rnacentral:rRNA from 1 species
UACGUAGGGUGCAAGCGUUGUCCGGAAUUAUUGGGCGUAAAGAGCUCGUAGGCGGUCUGUCGCGUCUGCUGUGAAAACUCGGGGCUUAACCCCGGGCCUGCAGUGGGUACGGGCAGACUAGAGUGCGGUAGGGGAGACUGGAAUUCCUGGUGUAGCGGUGAAAUGCGCAGAUAUCGGGAGGAACACCGGUGGCGAAGGCGGUUCUCUGGGCCUUACCUGACGCUGAGGAGCCGAAAGCGUGGGGAGCGAACAGG